GCCGGGCGUGGUGGCUCACGCCUGUAAUCCCAGCACUUUGGGAGGCUGAGGCGGGUGGAUCACCUGAGGUCAGGAGUUCAAGACCAGCCUGGCCAACAUGGUGAAACCCCAUCUCUA
rnacentral:SRP_RNA from 1 species